CCAACGUGUGUUGGUGCAAUAAAUCAACAACGGUGGUGCCUGAGCGUGGACUGUGCAACAGAUCUAGGGCGGUGGGAGGUUGUCUUCCGUACAGAGCAUGGAACGGUGAGGUUCCAAUGGCAGAGUGAUAAGUCGUAUUGUGACAAAGUUACGCUAGAUGAAGAUAUUGGAACCAAGUGUGAGGAUGUUCGCCUGCAAAGCAUCGUAGGUAAUCUUCCAAACUUCGAUUAAGAGCUUCUGUCUGUCCAUCAGUUUGCGGAUGAUAAGCAGAACUGAACUUUAAUGUUGUGCCUUGUGCCUUGAAUAGGUGUUUCCAGAACGUGCUGAUAAAUAGUGGAUCUCGGUCUGAGACAAUGGUUUUUGGCAGCCCAUGCAGACGACAAAUCUCAACCGAGAAUCGCUUGGCAAGUUGUUGAGCAUUGAACUGUUUGGGAAGUGCCACAAAGUGAGCAUACUUCGUGAGGCGAUCACAUAUGGCCCAUAUCACCGAGUGACCUAUAGAGGCGGGUAAGUGUGUUAUAAAAUCCAUUGAUAAAUCUUUCCACACUUGAUCUGGUAAUGGGAAGGGUUGGAGUAAUCCAUGGGGUUUUGUUGGCAAAUACUUGUUACGCUGACAUGUGGUGCAUUGUUGAAUGUAGUUCUUGACAUCUCUAGUCCACCCCGGCCAGUAGAAGGCAACAGCAAUGCGAGCAAGGGUGGGUUUAAUACCGGAAUGACCCGCUGUGGGCGAUUCAUGUAGUUCUAGGAGGAUGCGGUUUCUGAAAUUGUUGGUAUCUAGAAUAAACACUUGGUGCCGAAAGAAGAGCAGACCAUGACGGACUGAGAAGAUGUUGGGUCCUUGUGUAUCUUUAGUGCAAGCGUCUACUAAUCUUGUUCCUUCUAUGGUGGAAUAAAAUUGCUGUAACUCUUCAAACAACAAUGGUAUUGGCGACGAGAGUGCAAGCAACAUUGAAGGUGGAUCUGUGUCUUGGCGUGAGAGAGCAUCUACAACCACAUUUUGCUUGCCAG
rnacentral:lncRNA from 1 species